AACGAACGCUGGCGGCAGGCCUAACACAUGCAAGUCGAACGCUCCGCAAGGGGAGUGGCGCACGGGUGAGUAACGCGUGGGAAUCUACCUAUUAGUAAGGAAUAACAGUUGGAAACGACUGCUAAUACCUUAUACGCCCUACGGGGGAAAGAUUUAUCGCUAAUAGAUGAGCCCGCGUAAGAUUAGCUAGUUGGUGAGGUAAUGGCUCACCAAGGCUACGAUCUUUAGCUGGUCUGAGAGGAUGAUCAGCCACACUGGAACUGAGACACGGUCCAGACUCCUACGGGAGGCAGCAGUGGGGAAUAUUGGACAAUGGGCGAAAGCCUGAUCCAGCCAUGCCGCGUGAAUGAUGAAGGCCUUAGGGUUGUAAAGUUCUUUCGCCGCCGAGGAUAAUGACGGUAAGCGGAUAAGAAGCCCCGGCUAACUUCGUGCCAGCAGCCGCAGUAAAAC
rnacentral:rRNA from 1 species